UUUAGGGCAUGUUUGUUUCAUGAUUGGAAUGAAAAUGUGAAAUGGAAUCGGAAUAUUGGAAUGGAAAACGGAAUGAGGAAUCAUCUAAAAAUGUUUGGUUUAUUAUUAGAAUGGAAAUCAAAAUAGACAAAUAGGACAUCUAGGAUUUUAAUAGAGGGUUUUGGUUAAGGGAAAGGAGAGAUGAAGGGAGAGGAGGGGAGGUGUUUGUGAGAGAGAGAGAUUGAGUAGUUACUCUGGAAUGGGCCAAUCCAGGAUUCAAAGGUGAAUUCGGCCAUAAUGGAUUGAGUCAUUUCUAUUUUAGAGUGGAAUGGGAAUGGGAAUCCGAUUUCUGUAAAACAAACAACAACUAUUGGAAUUAGUGACUCUCAUUCCGAUUCUAGAGCCUAAAAUAGGUGAAGCUCUUAAUGGUUUCAGGAUUCAGGAGUAAUUAAUCAAUCUAAAAUAUAUAGGACAAAUAAAUUUGCUUUUAGGGCAUGUUGUUCAUGAUUGGAAUAGGAAUGAGAAAUGGAAUUGGAUUGCUUUCGAAUGGGAAAUGGAAUGAUGAAUUAUCCAAAAACGUUUGGUUCAUUAUUGGAAUGGAUAUCGGAAUGGAAAUCUAGAAUUUUUGAGAGAGCUUUUUGAUUAAGAGAGAGGAAAGUGAUGAAGGGAGAGGAGGGGAGGUGUUGGUGAAAGAGAAUUUUGAAUAGUUUAUUUUGGAAUGGGGCAAUCCGGUAUUGAAAGCCGGAU
rnacentral:lncRNA from 1 species